rnacentral:rRNA from 1 species
CCCCAAAAGCCCAAAUUGGCAAUCUGUCUGUUUUUUUAGUAGUCCGAGUUGUAAUUUGAAGAAUAGACCCUUGGAGAGGCCCUUUGUCUAUGUUCCUUGGAACAGGACGUCGCAGAGGGUGAGAAUCCCGUUUGGCGAGGUGUGCUGAUCCGUGUAAGGCCUGUUCGACGAGUCGAGUUGUUUGGGAAUGCAGCUCUAAGUGGGUGGUAAAUUCCAUCUAAAGCUAAAUAUUGGCGAGAGACCGAUAGCGAACAAGUACAGUGAUGGAAAGAUGAAAAGAACUUUGAAAAGAGAGUGAAAAAGUACGUGAAAUUGUUGAAAGGGAAGGUUAUUAGAUCAGACUUGGAUUUUUUAUUAUAUUUGUCUCCUUGUGGGGCAUUCACUAAUUUUUAAUCCAGGCCAGCAUCGAUUGGGAUGGCGGGAAAAAGAGGGAGGAACGUGGCUGUGCAUUUAUGUGCAGUGUUUAUAGCCUUUCUUAAUACCGCCUGUCUCGAUCGAGGACU